rnacentral:SRP_RNA from 1 species
GCUGGGCACAGUGGUGUGUGCCUGUAGUCCCAGCUACUCUGGAGGCUGAAAUGGGAGGAUCACUUGAGCCCAGGAGUUCUAGGCUGUAGUGCGCUAUGCCAAUCGGGUGUCUGCACUCAGUUCGGCAUCAAUAUGGUGACCUCCCGGGCAAGGUGGCUCACACCUGUAAUCCCAGCACUUUGGGAGGCUGAAGUGGGCAGAUCACCUGAGGUCAGGAGUUUGAGACCAGCCUGGCCAACAUGAUGAAAACCCAUCUCU